GCCUCCUUAGCUCAGCUGGAUAGAGCAACGCCCUUCUAAGGCGUAGGUCACACGUUCGAAUCGUGUAGGGGGUACCA
rnacentral:tRNA from 1 species